rnacentral:rRNA from 1 species
UACGUAGGUGGCAAGCGUUGUCCGGAUUUAUUGGGUUUAAAGGGUGCGUAGGCGGCUCAUUAAGUCAGUUGUGAAAUACGGCAGCUUAACUGUCGAGGUGCAAAUGAUACUGGUGAGCUAGAGUACUGAUGAGGUAGGCGGAAUGGACGGUGUAGCGGUGAAAUGCUUAGAGAUCGUCCAGAACACCGAUAGCGAAGGCAGCUUACUAAGGAGUAACUGACGCUGAGGCACGAAAGUGUGGGGAUCAAACAGG